CCUGCAGCCGCGAUGCAGCCCGGCUCAGCCCAGCUUCUCCCAGACGGACGGCCUGGGGUGCGGGGCGCUGGCCACCCUCCCGUGUCCGGCCGACACGCGGGGACAGGACCCUGCCUCACGCGUUGCUGAGGAGCAGGGCCCAGGGAAGCCGGAACCGGGCCGGGUGCCCCGUCCCGGGUCCACAGGCCCCGCCGCCCUGUUUCCAAAACCCAGGCCGAGGCCUGGAUACCCAACGCCCUUGCAGUAACAGAGUAAAGAGUAAUUUUCCCCACUAAUGUAUUUUCUCUCGACCUUUCCGCAGUAAGGCACGUUAAGGUGUGUAGGUCCUCUCAGAGCACGCCUCCCCUGUGUCUUCCAGCCGCCGCCGCCUCCUUCUCCUCCUCCUCCUAAGUAUCGGUGUCUCCAAGGCCCUAUUUUUGAUUCUUUGUCUUUCUCUUUUCAGCCUCCCUCUCAGGGCCUCUCCGCUCCCCUUAGCUCCGCUUACCACUGCCCUGCUAGCCUUCUUGGACCGUCCCAGAACCUUCCCGAAAUGCAGCCUGGCACAGCAGCCUGCAGUGCCAGCUGGGGAAGAGGCAGCAGUAGCAGGAACCUUUGCCAGCCCGGCCUUUGGGACGGCUCUGAACACAGCAGGGAGGAGCUGAAUGCAUUUCAACUGCAGCCAACAACCGGUAGAUUCGAUUUUAAUUUACCGGGUCAAACAAUCAUUGUGCCAGUUCGGGAUGUCACCCACAGAUAGGAACAGUUGUCUUCCAGGGGAAGGCGCUGGAAGAGGUGGUCAACAAGCAGCCCGACAGCCAGGCCUCACCCCACCGUCCCGUGGCCUGCGAUGAGGUGACGCUGCCCUGCCAACCUCGGGGGUGCAGUUAAACCUGUGAGGUCCCCAGCUCAGCCCACCCUCCCCACUGCUCAGCACUCUUUUUAUUUGCCUCCUUUUACCAUCCCCCUGGGCCACAUUCCCAUCCCUUUUCCUACUCUUCUAACACCCCCACCCACCUCCUCCUCUGUAGACAAUCCACCUCUCCAACAGCUUUUCCAGAAUCUAGCUGGGAACCAGCCAGUAGCAGCCUCAGUACUUUCCCCUUCCCUGUUUGUAUAUAGCAAAGGCUUCCAUUUAACUAGAAAGACAUGUUUUUUUACUUAAAUUUCCCUUGAAAAUACACAAGGGUUUAAAUUAGGGCAAAAAUUGCAUUUUCAAAUCACAAACGUUUUUGCCAAAAUCCAAAAUGUUUGAGAAAAUAGGUCAAGAGGCUUUCUUAAAGCGUCAGGUUUUCCCAUCUGUGGUUAGAUUUGUAGAUCACAUGUGAGGCCCUUUCAUGUGUGGAUGUCGUCGUUCCAAGAGCCUGCUGGCCGCGCCUUUUAUUUCUCCAGGCAAGGGUAGAGCACCAUGGGGGUGCGCUGAGGACCUGUGAGCCUGGGCGGCAGUUCCUAAGGAGGGCUGUGCCCUUGAACAUACUCCCCAGCUCCCUGGGUCUCAGGAAAUGGGGAUGGCACCAGAUUAACCAUAACGGAGCCUGGAAACUUCAUGUCCCAGGGGACCCCGAGAUUCUCGGAUAAUACACGGACAUCCCGAUUCUUCCUCCUUAUCAGGAGGGAAGACGGGGGUGAGAGGUGGAAUUACCCACAUCCCUAAUUGCAGAGGCUCAUUCAAACACUGAGCUAGGUUUUGCAAGGUGAUGUUUUCAGCCCGGCCUUCUGCAUUGUAGCCGUGCCCAGCAACGGAGGGGGGGCAAAAUUCAUGGGAGCCACUAGGAUCAAGACCUUCCUCCCUGAGCUGUACAAUGAAGGCCGGGGCCCUCUGAGGGCAGGGGUUGGAAUUAUCACCGUGCGACGACCAAAAUCCUACAAACCCUGUGAUUUUUUUUUUUUUGGUUGCCCUUAAUAUGUUAAUACGUGCUAAGCGCUACCUGAAGGAGAGUAAGCGCUUUGUGUAUAUGUGUGUAUGUGCACGCGCACGUGUGUGUAAGCACCAGCACCGAGGUCUCUAUGAAAAUAGAUCAAGAAAGAAUUCUGCGACAUUCACAAGCCUGAGGUCCAGGGUUGUUGUUGUUGUUUUUCUUCUCUUUUUUUUUAAGUGAGUAUGUAUGUGCGCACAUGCGCAUGAGAGCUAAAGAAUCCACAAAACCCUCAACUGAACACUAAGU
rnacentral:lncRNA from 1 species